rnacentral:rRNA from 1 species
UGGGGAAUUUUGGACAAUGGGCGAAAGCCUGAUCCAGCCAUGCCGCGUGAGUGAAGAAGGCCUUCGGGUUGUAAAGCUCUUUUAGUCGGAAAGAAAGAGUUGCAAUGAAUAAUUGUGAUUUAUGACGGUACCGACAGAAAAAGCACCGGCUAACUACGUGCCAGCAGCCGCGGUAAUACGUAGGGUGCGAGCGUUAAUCGGAAUUACUGGGCGUAAAGGGUGCGCAGGCGGCCUUGCAAGCCAGAUGUGAAAGCCCCGGGCUUAACCUGGGAAUUGCGUUUGAAACUACAAGGCUAGAGUGCAGCAGAGGGGAGUGGAAUUCCAUGUGUAGCAGUGAAAUGUGUAGAGAUGUGGAAGAACACCGAUGGCGAAGGCAGCUCCCUGGGUUGACACUGACGCUCAUGCACGAAAGCGUGGGGAGCAAACA